rnacentral:rRNA from 1 species
GACGAACGCUGGCGGCGUGCCUAACACAUGCAAGUCGAGCGAAGUGCUUUAAGCGGAAUCUUCGGAGGAAGCUUAAAGUAUCUUAGCGGCGGACGGGUGAGUAAUGCGUGAGGAACCUGCCUUUCACAAGGGGAUAGCCUCGGGAAACUGGGAUUAAUACCCUAUGACACCUAAGUAUCGCAUGAUACUUAGGUUAAAGCGCAAAGCGGUGGAAGAUGGCCUCACGUCCCAUUAGCUAGUUGGUGAGGUAAAGGCUCACCAAGGCAACGAUGGGUAGCCGGCCUGAGAGGGUGACCGGCCACACUGGAACUGAGACACGGUCCAGACUCCUACGGGAGGCAGCAGUGGGGAAUAUUGCACAAUGGGCGAAAGCCUGAUGCAGCGACGCCGCGUGAGCGAAGAAGGCCUUCGGGUCGUAAAGCUCUGUCCUAUGGGACGAUAAUGAGGUACCAUAGGAGGAAGCCCCGGCUAACUACGUGCCAGCAGCCGCGGUAAG